UGUGGGGAGACGCUUUUCCAGAGAGAUGUCCUCAACCUGGUCUGUCUCCGAGGCUCAACGAGUGUCAGUGACACUGCUCCACUGCCUGCACUGGUGCCUGCCUCUUCAACACCAUCACAGCCAAGAAAAGCAUGCUGCUGGUCUUCACCUUCUGACUGGACAUGGGGAGACACAAGCUCUACCUCAGGGCAGGAGGAUUUACAGGCCGGGCCUCAGUGCAGCUCAGCUUUCCCUCUUGGCCCGGGGAGUCGUCCAGCAUCCCCGUCAGCACCGGCUGGACAGGGGCACCCACCCGCACUUACGGCCUCGGGGUGACAAAUGAGCAGAUCGCACAGACCAUCACCUCAGCGGAGGGGUAGGGCCGGUGCACACCGGGGGUGGCCAGGACCACAAGCCACAGGUACUCCCCAGUGUCAAAGCUCAGAGGAGGUCCCUGGUGCCAUCCCAGGCCUGGCAGUUGUGUCCCUGGGAGCAGAACGCUGCUGCCACUCUGCUGGUUUCCCUCUUGCCUGGUUUCCAUUGCCCAUCCCUGCUGCACCUGGAAGAACAGGCUGGAUUUGGUGUUGGCACUGAAGAUCUGCUGGAUGCUCUCUUCCUGAGCCCUUGCUCAGCCUGGGCUGUGUUGCUCCAGACCCCUGCAAAACCUGUGGCAACACCCAUGCCAGCAUCUCCUGCACUGGUCCAUCUGCACAUCGCUUUCAAGGUGCCCACCAGGAUUUCCCAUUGGCAAAGCCCCUUGGCCCCUGCAGACCGGGGCUGCUCGGAGCCCCAGUUCCCACCCUUGGCAGCUCCCCUCGAGUGUUUUUCCAGGAGCUGGACUAUGAGCAAAUCUACUGGGCCAUGCCGGUGCCCCCAGGCUCGUGGUGGCUUGUGCUAUAGAUGGAGCCCGGCAGCCAGAGGAUCAGGCAGCACUGCACCUUCACUAACACUAGCACCAUCACCCAGCUGGACAUCCAGGUUGCUCCCAUGAAGAUGAAGCAAUGAUGUUUAUGUAGCUACAUCUUAAGAUAGCUGUGAAGCUGUGGUGCAUCCGUAUGCGGUGGGUGCUGCUGACUAUGGAUGCAGAUGGCUGGACUUCCCAGGGAGGGGGAUUCCCUCUCUCCAGGGAGCUCACCGAGGCUGGGUUUGUGUCUCUCGUUCCAGACUGUGCUAA